rnacentral:rRNA from 1 species
GACGAACCACACGAACGUUAUUCGGAAUCACUGGGCUUAAAGGGUGCGUAGGCGGCGCGGAAAGUAGGGUGUGAAAUCCCUCGGCUCAACCGAGGAACUGCGCUCUAAACUACCGUGCUCGAGGGAGGUAGAGGUGAGCGGAACUUAGGGUGGAACGGUGAAAUGUGUUGGAUAUCCUAAGGAACACCGGUGGCGAAAGCGGCUCACUGGAUCUCUUCUGACGCUGAGGCACGAAAGCUAGGGUAG